UACGUAGGGGGCAAGCGUUGUCCGGAAUCAUUGGGCGUAAAGAGCGUGUAGGCGGCCAGAAAAGUCCGCUGUGAAAACUCGAGGCUCAACUUCGAGCUGUCGGUGGAAACUUUCUGGCUAGAGUCCGGAAGAGGAGAAUGGAAUUCCUGGUGUAGCGGUGAAAUGCGCAGAUAUCAGGAGGAACACCAAUUGCGAAGGCAGCUCGCUGGGACGUUACUGACGCUGAGACGCGAAAGCGUGGGGAGCAAACAGG
rnacentral:rRNA from 1 species